ACGCGAUCGGGGCGACCGGAUGGACCGGGGCCGAUCUGGCGGCCUCGGCCGAUGCGAUCGUGGCCAAGGCCGGCUAUGGCACCUCCUGCGAAGCCAUGGUUUCGGGAACGCCGAUGAUUUAUCCUCCCAGGACCGGAUUCGCGGAACAUCGAGCCCUGGAUCGGGCUCUGCGAAGCUGGGGGGGAGGCGUCCCAGCCUCCGCGCGAGCCUUUGCCGAGUUCCGGCUCGACUCGCACCUGGACAAGGCCCUCGCAUUGAAGCCCGGCCCCCCCCCGUUCCCCGCCGACGGGGCAGGGCGGGUCGCCGAACGGCUGGCACAGACCUGCCGGAGUACACCGCCUCGGAGAGUCCCAUGAGUUCAACCCAGAUCGUGAUCCACCCCGCCGUCGAGCCCGAGCGGUUCACCAUCCUCCAAU
rnacentral:misc_RNA from 1 species